rnacentral:tRNA from 1 species
GCCAAUGGUGGUUCAGUGGUAGAAUUCUCGCCUGCCACGCGGGAGGCCGGGUUCGAUUUCCCGGCCAAUUGCA